rnacentral:rRNA from 2 species
AACGCGAAGAACCUUACCAGGUCUUGACAUACUCGUGCUAUUCCUAGAGAUAGGAAGUUCCUUCGGGACACGGGAUACAGGUGGUGCAUGGUUGUCGUCAGCUCGUGUCGUGAGAUGUUGGGUUAAGUCCCGCAACGAGCGCAACCCCUAUUGUUAGUUGCCAUCAUUAAGUUGGGCACUCUAACGAGACUGCCGGUGAUAAACCGGAGGAAGGUGGGGAUGACGUCAAAUCAUCAUGCCCCUUAUGACCUGGGCUACACACGUGCUACAAUGGAUGGUACAACGAGUCGCGAGACAGUGAUGUUUAGCUAAUCUCUUAAAACCAUUCUCAGUUCGGAUUGUAGGCUGCAACUCGCCUACAUGAAGUCGGAAUCGCUAGUAAUCGCGGAUCAGCACGCCGCGGUGAAUACGUUCCCGGGUCUUGUACACACCG